GUCCCGGUGGCCGAGUGGUUAAGGCGACGCCCUGCUAUUGUGUAAGAAUGGCAACCAGGCGUUGGGCUAUGCCUUCGCAGGUUCGAAUCCUGUCCGUGACG
rnacentral:tRNA from 1 species